rnacentral:lncRNA from 1 species
GCUGCUGUUGUUUCAGUGUUUCCACAGAAGUCUCCUGCAGAGGGCAUUGUACCUGCGACAAACACACACACCUCUGUCUGCACACAGUCUACAGCAACUACUCAUACAACAACAGGUGACACACACAGAUAUAAUACAAAACAUGCUGUAAUGGUGAUUAAUGUAAACUAAUGAAGGGUUGUGUGUGUAGCUGGCUCAGUCUCAGCUGUGGGGUCUGAGUGGCUCUCUGGACUCACAGAGACUCAGAGACACGGACCAUCAGCAUGACGUGACGUCACUGCAGAAACGCAUCAUUCAGCUGGAGGGACAGUUACAGUUACCUCAGACUGAUUGCUCAGGAGACUCUCGCUGAAUGCAGGAACUGAGUUCUUCAAGCGUCUGUGUUCAGGAGCGUCUGAGGAUGACGGAUCAUCACAGAGACAUGGAGCGACUGAGACACACUCUUCCCGUCCAUCCGGGGACGUCAGCACCUCUCAUCACAGAUUUCUCUCCAGCGUUAGCCAGUACACACCUGACCCCCGCUGUGAACCUGCUGCCCGCCUCACCCUCAUCAAACAUAUCGCUGAGAAGGUACAGAAACAUACGUUCAC